GGUUGGCUGUGGAAAAUGACACUUGAGAUUCUUGGACAACUCCUUGGCCAUCUGGAAACAAAAAACUAAUGGUCGCCCUGUUCAUCACUUUGGGAAGCUAACUAUUCACUACCACUAUGGUAAUUACUUUUAGCUAGUUACCCUUUCACCUCCCAUUUUCUCUCUUCUCUUCUCAAGGUGAGCCCAUGUGUCCGUACCUUAGAGUUUAAUUGUACUGUACUGUAUCAUCCAACAAAGUUUUGAACCAUAUAAUAUGCAUCCCAUGUGGUAUGUCACGGG
rnacentral:lncRNA from 1 species